UACGUAGGGGGCGAGCGUUAUCCGGAUUUACUGGGCGUAAAGCGCGUGUAGGUUGUUGCGUAAGUUAGUUGUGAAAUCCCUCGGCUUAACCGAGGAACUGCAGCUAAUACUGCGUGGCUGGAGUGGCAGAGAGGAAAGUGGAAUUCCCGGUGUAGUAGUGAAAUGCGUAGAUAUCGGGAGGAACACCAGUGGCGAAGGCGACUUUCUGGCUGCUAACUGACACUGAGACGCGAAAGCUAGGGGAGCGAACGGG
rnacentral:rRNA from 1 species